UACGGGGGGGAGCAAGCGUUGUUCGGAAUUACUGGGCGUAAAGGGCCAGUAGGCGGCCAACUAAGUCCGACAUGAAAUCCCUGGGCUCAACCCAGGAACUGCGUCCGAUACUGGUUGGCUUGAAUCCGGGAGAGGGAUGUGGAAUUCCAGGUGUAGCGGUGAAAUGCGUAGAUAUCUGGAGGAACACCGGUGGCGAAGGCGACAUCCUGGACCGGUAUUGACGCUGAGGGCGCGAAAGCCAGGGGAG
rnacentral:rRNA from 1 species